CAAGGCUCAAUUGAAGGACUUUUGGGACCAGAUUUCUGACCAGAGUUAUGAUUCCAGUCUCAGAACCGUCUUUGACAUGGUUGAUAAAGAUGCAGAUGGAAGAAUCACCGAGGAAGAAAUUAAAGAGAUCAUCUGCCUUAGUGCCACAACAAACAAACUCUCAAACAUACAACAGCAUGUUAAAGAAUAUGUAGCUUUGAUCAUG